CGCGAGGAGGAGGGGGCCGUGUGGAAACGGUGCGGGGCUUUGGGUUGGAUAUUAGGAAGAAGUUUUUCACACAGAGGUGGUGCCACUCUGGAACAGGUUGCCCGAGGAGGCUGUGGAUGCCCCAUCCCUGGAGGCAUUCAAGGCCACGCUGGAUGUGGUUCUGGGCAGCCUGGUCUGGAGGUUGGCAACCCUGCACAUAGCAGGGAGGUUGAAAGUCAAUGAUCAUUGUGGUCCUUUUCAACCAAGCCCAUUCUACGAUUCUAUGCACUAGAUUAGGCUGGCCAUGGUUCCUAUCCAACCUAGCCUCUUUUUAUGCCUUACAACUUAGCCACUUUGUACGUCUCUUUUCAGAAAGAAAACAAAGAUAUACCGAUUCAGACUACUUUAACACUUCCAUGCAAAUGCACUCUUCUAAUAUUUUUUAAAUGGAUCUUUUUGUUUUGUUUUUGCUCUGAGAAUUCUUCCUUCCACUCUAACACAUUGGUAAAAUGAAAGGCUGUCUAGUACUGCAUUAAUGGGUAUCAUUCAUGCCAGUUCACUAGUAUGGAUGGAUACUAUACUCCCUGAAAUGAAUGGUCAUUAGAUAUUUCCUCAGAAAUCUUCAUUUUUUCACAGAGUUAUUCAAGUAAUUUAUUUUUUACCAAGUCAGCAGCUAUAUAUCUGCUGAUGGAAAGAGAAUCCAUGUUCUGGAAAAGAAAACAUGUGUGCAGCGAUUUUUUCAAGAUUUUGGUCACAAGCCCAAGAUCACUCAGCAACAGGUCAAGCUCUCAAAAUAUGGAACACGACACUAUUUGCUGUUCAUGCACUCAGUCUCUGAGCAGCCCAGGGAACAAAUGCUGACUUGCCUGACCUGGAGAGUGAAAAAUGAAGAUGGAUCAAUUAAGAUAGCUAGACAGCUUGUGAUGCUUAUCAAUAAAAUACUGGCAGAUCUCUACUACAUGUAUGGAGAAAGACAUUUCAAAGGUUAAGAACAAAGCCAGUUUGGAUAGAUGCAUAGGCUGGGGAUUGUAAAAAUACAUAGUCAUUUGUUAAGAUUUUUCUUAUUAUGCAGUUGUCUUGUUUUUUUUCCUUGGAAUUCUCUGACAAUUUGUGCACAAUAAAGAAUUCUUUGGUUUGUUAUUCUCAGUGGGUAGAGUCUGAAAUUUGCUCUAUUUUGGAGGACUGAGAUGGCAAGUAAAUGACUGCUAUUAAAACAAAUAUCUGGAGACCAAAAAACAACUUUUUAAUCAUGUUUUUUGAUUCCUCUUGUCUGUUUUUCUAGAUUGUAAAUUAUUUAUUCACAUCCAUUUCUACUAUAUAUAAAUCUGAAUCUUCUCUGCCCUGUGUCUGAACUAUAGAUUUAUCAUAACGUUUAUUUUUGACCCUUAGCACGCUUGUAUACAAAAUUAUGUAGACAUUGCCUGAUUUUGUAUUAUGUAUUAAAACCAGCAAAAUGUGCUAAUUUCUCUAGGAUUAAAAAGAAAAUCAGUGUGCUUCAAUUAAUUAACAGAUUCUUAUUUUAA
rnacentral:lncRNA from 1 species